UUCCUGUAUAACCUUUAACCCUGCUGUAUUUUACUCUGUCACAUGCAGAAUUAGGAUAAUAGUACUUCCUUAUUUGAGAGGGAUGUAGGAAGUUAAGUGCAUUAGAAUAUGAAGUGUUCAGAUACUACAAAAGUGGGGAGGAGGCAUAUAAAUACCUACGCAUAUUCCAACAAUACUCCUCAGAGGCACAAGUGUGCUGAAUACUACACAAAACCUGGGUGACAGGAAGGAGAAGAGAAACACUGGGAAGAUUAUCAUCAAGAAAGUGGAAUUUCCGAUAUUCAAUCGUAAACAGUGUGGCAGACUCAACAUUUUUGUUAUUUUUGCUACAGUCUUAAGGUCUUGGAAGCAAAUUCAAGAUUAUGGCUUUCAGGAAUGUUCCUGGGUCAGAUGGAACACUCUGAAAGGGGAGAGACAGCAGCAUGCAACAGGGAGGUGUAACUCUCGCCUGUUACAUCUCUUCCAGAGCAUGAGCAGUUGUUCUCUAUGAAAGGAACAGCCUAACUAAUUUCCAACUAAAUGGAAAUGUGUGGAGUUUGCUGUAGCUCAAAAGGUCAGUGAGUUAACUGAGCAGUCAGAUAAGAGUUGCUUAUUGAUCCUACUGAUUUCCAUUGUAACUGACCUUAUUAUUUUAACUUCUUAAAUAGAGAAGACUCAAUUAUCCUAAUUUAUAUUUUAAUAAAACCUAGCUUUUUGAGUGCUCAGGUUACUGGAGAACAGAUAAGGUUUGGUCAGAUCCACCUCAAAGCUCUGGCUGACUGUCACGUCACAGUUGUGCACACUUGGUAUGCUCUUCUAGUUGUUUAUAUCUUUCAAAUACAACCCAGUUCUUCUUAGGAAUGCACAGAUGUUUCUCAGAAAGUAUUCAUUCCAUCACUGAAAUGUCACCUAUUUGCUUGCAUGUCUGUUAUGGAUCAGAAUCAGCUUUCAGAAUUAUAUUUCAAAUAUAAUAUAUAGAAAAAUUUAUUACAGCUAUUUUGUUUCCCAGGACUCUUGAGAAAGCAGGUCCAGCAAAAACAUCAAGCAUAGGCUGAAUCAGAGCCUAAAACACAAAACACUUCUUUUUCAACUCUUCUAAGAAACAUCUGAUUCCUGGCAGGGUAUAAACUUGGCUAAGUUCAGACCUUAAAAUCAAAGUUAUGAAUUAUGGAAAUCAAGAAGUAAAACAGCAUGAGAACCAUCGCAUAACUGUCACGGUUAUCACAUGACUGAUGUUACUGCUGCUGCCUCCAAUACAAACACAAGAACGAUAAAAUUUGUACACAUCCACACAAACUUUCUUACCCAAAGG